CAGAUUUUGGAGUGCAAAAAGAUUUUUUAAAUUCUCAUAUUCGUAAAAAGAGGCCUGCCGCUGAUUGACAAUGGCCAGGUCCACUGCUUCCACUAAAAACAUUAGGAAGAAAGGACUGAGAAAAAAAAAAAACACCAAAUGAGAUUUGUUGUCGAAUCCGGCGAGGGACAUCAAUGCUAAAUUAAUUUCUGCUCGUUGGAUUUGGAAGACAUUGUGUUCAGGCCUGUCCCGGGAGAAGAUACAAGCUUAUCAAGAAGGCAGGGAUCUUCCCAGUAGUAAGUACAGGAUCCAUGUUUUACUGACAUUCAAAUGAGGUAAGAUCUUCCAAACUAAUCCUGUGAAAAUCCAUGCUUUCUCCAUGCAUCCCAAAACACUUGGUUUAUCCCUCUCAUGAUCACAGUCAUGGCACAGCAGCAAACAAGCCCUUUUGAAUUUACUGCUUCUUUGUAGAGGACCAUGUCUGUGUCAUGAGGUUACAUAAACCACAUGGUUGGUGUGCCCAGAAACAUGAGCCAGACAUCAUUCUUUGGAGCCUGUCCCAUCGGAUGAGGGGAGGGGAUGGGUGCAAGUUAUGGACAUAUAACUUUGCCAUUUGUUGGGCCCAUCUGUGUGUCUGCUAUGUGACUUGCUGCAUGAAAUAUUCAAGGUCCAGUGAAAAGUGAUCUGAUGGUCGCUGUCAAGACUCCCCCCACCUUUUUUGGUUGUCUAUACCAGAUACUAACCAUUACCAAUGGCAAAAAAGACAAAAGAAAAAACAAACAAAACAAGCAGGUGACACCUUCUAUCAGUGCUCCAGUUUCCAUGCCCCAAUUUCGUACACCUUUCCUAGAUCAUUAGUUUAAAAAUGAAUUUAGUUCAGGAAUAUCAUAUAUCAAGCUCAUAUUUUCUGUUGAAUGAGAUAUUGAUAUAUGGUAUUUGGAUUAACAUUGCUAUCGGUAUUUCUUCCUCUUUCCAAAAAGAGUUAAUAUAGAAUGAUGUGUAUAUAACUUUGUGCCGUAAACACAUAGAUAAGUCUUGAGUUGCAUAAUGAAACACAAAUUUGAACACAUUAAAAUGCCCAUUGCCAAAACAAUCUUAACGAAGCCGAAUGUCACAUAACAGUAUAUACCAGUCUCGAAAUCAAAGUUUCGUUUGACUUCGUUCACCAGAAUUUCUGUAGUUUAGACAAUAUUUCCUUUUGUCCUCAUAACAUGUGUUUUCCUGAAGUGUUUGUGGUCCUCCUGCUUACACUCAGAGUAUGCAAGGCACAGCACUCCCACUGCAGGAAAAACAAUCUGAGGAAACUGGGAACAAUCAUAAGCAGGCUUCAGCAUGCUGCCAUAAAAAAUGCACAGGUCCUUGCAUCCAGUCCAUGCGGCCGAUGGUUUGACGGCGCUGCUGGUGCACCAUCCAGAGCAGCAGGAAACACCCUACAAAACAGAGGUGGAUACUGCUUUUGUUGUAGCUAAGACGUUUAAUAAAACAUCAUCAGUGGGUGGGCAAGAUUAGCCAUAAAACAAUGCGUACUGUACUAGGGUCAUUAUACUUUAGGUAGGUGUUUCUAUAGGGAUGGGCAUUUCCAAAGUGGAACACAAACCAAAAAUGCAACAGCAAAUCAGAAAACAAAACAGCAAAACUAAAAACACAACAGCAAAUUCAGAAACACAACCACAACUCAGAACAUAAAACACCAAAAAGACAACAGUAAAUUGAGAAACACAACAACAUUCAAUAAAUACAGAAUGGAUAGGUCCUUAUUCCUUACAUCAUAUGCUCGUAGCUGAUUGGACAGCAUUUGAUUAUAAUAAGGAACAAUGAUUGUCCUUUUUUGGUCUCUUAUCUAGCUAGUCUAGUGAAACAAAUUUAAUGCAAAUGUAAUUACAGUGAGAAGUAGUCCUUCUGUAUAAGAAAGGAGGCAUGGAGGCUGCUGUCUUAUCUGGCAACAAGAUGAUAGCAGCAGAUCCUUUCAGUUCUUUAAGUUGCAAGGUGGGUCCUCCAUGGAUCGGACUUGUUUGCCCAGGACAUCCCACAGAUGCUUGAACAGAUUUGAGAUCUGGGGAAUUUGGAAGCCAAGUCAACACCUUUGUCAUGUACUUUGUCAUGUUCCUCAAACUAUUCCUGAACAAUUUUUGCAGUGUGGCAAGGCGCAUUAUCCUGCUGAAAGAGGCCACUGCCAUUAGGAGUGUACUUGGUCUGCAACAAUGUUUAGGUACAUGAUACGCAUUAAAGUAACAUCUACAUGAAUGCCAAGACUCAAGGUUUCCGAGCAGAACAUUGCCCAGAGCAUCACACUUCCUCCACCGGCUUGCCUUCUUCCAAUAGUGCAUCCAGUACCAUCUCUUCCCCAGGUACCACGUAGACUCCUACUGGAUCAUCUCAUGAGAUGGACCGGUGUUCUGUCCAGGGUUAUUCCUGCCUCAUACUCAAUGUCCCAGGGAUUGGAAGCCCUAACCAGGAUAAAGCUGGCUGUCCAUAUGAUGUAAAAGAAAACUUGAUUCUUCCAUUGGACCAUGGUCCGGUUCUUAUGCUCACAUGCAAACUGUAGGCUUUUUCAGCAGUGGACAGGGGUCAGCAUGGGCACUCUGACCGGUCUGCAGCUACACAGCACUACAUGUAGCAAGCUGCAAUGCACUGUGUCUUCUGAUACCUUUCUAUCAUAGCCACUAUUCAAUUUUUCAGGAAUUUGUGUUACUGUAGCUCUUCUGUGGGAUCUGAACAGAUGGGCUAGCCUUCACUCCCCAUGCACACAAUGAGUCUUAUGGUAAAUUAGCCUUAAGGAAAGUUAGGAGAGACAGAGAGAGUAAAGUCAUUCCUCCCACCCAGAGAGCACAGCCAGUUUGGCUCCCGUGGCCUUUGAUGCUUGUGGCAUUGUCAGGAUUCAAACUUGCAAUCUCCUGAUGAUAGGGCGUUUCUGUUGUGUCACUUGGGAGCAAGUUGAUAGCAUAUCUUAAAUAACAUUAUGUGCAUGCUCUUGAUAAAAAUAAGCAUGAAUAAAAGCCUCAGUAUUCAUUCAGGCUCAUAUUUCAGAUUACGGUAAACAUUCUCCAGCUUUCAGUUUCCACGCUUGCUCAGACUGAUGUGCGCAGUAGCCAAUCAGAGACGAUCAUGUGAUGUUCAAUAAGGACUUACCCUUUCCCUUCUGAAUGACUGUUGAUAAGUUUCUGACUUGCUGUUGGUUUUGGGCUUCUCAUUGUGUUUCUGCUCACAGGUCACCAUAGAUAUGCAACUAGCUACAAAUUUGCCUUUGUGCUUUUACAUUUUUAUGCUGCUUUUGGCUUUGCUGUUGUGUUUUUGGCUUUGGUGUUGUGGCUUUUUUUAUUUGGUGUUGUGUUUUUUUUAUUUGCUGUUGUUUUAGUAUUGCUGUUGUGUUCUUGGCUUUGAUGGUGUAUUUUUGGUUUUGCCAUUGUGCUACUAAUUUGAUGUUGUGCUUUUAGUUUUGCCAUUAUGUAUUUGAUCUGACAUUGUGUUUUUAGAUUUGCUGUUGUGUUUUAGUUUUGCUGCUGUGUUUUUUAAUUAGAUUUUUAGUUUUUAGUUUUGUUGUGUUUCUGAUUUGAUGUUGUGUUUAGUUUUGUUGUGUUUCUGAAUUGAUGUUGUGUUUCGUUUUGUUGUGUUUUUGAUUUUGCUGUUGUGUUUUUUGAUUUGUUGUUGGGUUAGUUUUGCAUUUGUGUUUUAUUGGUGUUUUUUCAUUUUGUUUUCAUUUCUGACUCAGUGUUGUGUUUAUAGUUUGCUGUUUUGUUUUUGUUAUUUUGGUUACUGUUGUGAUUUAAUUUAGUUUUCUGAUUUGCUAUUGUGUUUUAGUUUUGCUGUUGUGUUUUCUGAUUUGAUUGUGUGUUUUUAAUUUGUGUUUUUUUUAAUUUACUUUUGUGUUUGUAGGUUUGCUGUCUUUUGUUUAGUUUUCUUGUCACUUUUUAAAUAUAUUUUUUUAAUUUAAUUGGACUUUUUUAUUUGAAUAAUAUUCCACCACAUUCACCAUUGGAAAAAGGUCACAUGGCACAAAGCAUUAGCAUUUAUUUUUUCUCCAUUUAUUCUCACCCAGAGAAAAGGGUGGAUGAACUACACCCAUUCCAUUUAGGUGCAAGAUUCUGUUCCUAUACACACUUUGGUCUGGGCUGCAGACAGCACUGCUCCUGCUGGAUGGAAUGUGUCAAUAUGUGGAUUAUAGAUUAAUUGCUUGGCCCUUCACUGGAGUGUGUCACAAAACAAACCUCACAGCCCUAAU
ensembl:lncRNA